UUGUAAUCCAUAUUACACUCGACAUCAAGCUCCAAGAGCACUGAGAUGUAGGGCUUUUACCUCCACCGUAGAGGGGCCUGAACUCAUACAACCUCGCCGCAGCUAAGGCUCUGCCCAUCCUUUCAUACCCUACACAUCUACUGUCAGACUUAUACCCACGACACAACCACUCUGCUACUGUCAUGGUUUUGACAGAGAGAGNNNNNNNNNNNNNNNNNNNNNNNNNNNNNNNNNNNNNNNNNNNNNNNNNNNNNNNNNNNNNNNNNNNNNNNNNNNNNNNNNNNNNNNNNNNNNNNNNNNNCUUCGUCACCUCCAUAAACGAGAAACAUUUCCUUAGUCCUUUUCAGGUACUUCAGGAUAUUCUUGACCGUUGUCUAGUGUUCCGCACCGGGAUUACUUUGGUACCUCCCUACCAAGCUUAUGGCAAGGUUUAUAUCAGGUCUGGUACACAGCAUGGCAUACAUUAGAGAGCCCACGGCUGAAGCGUAGGGGACAGAACUCAUCUUCUCUCUAUCUGCUGCCGUGGUCGGCGACUGAGUCUUACUCAAUCUCAUACCUUGCAAAACUGGAAAGAACUCUUUCUUUGAGUUUUCCAUAUUGAACUUCUUCAAUAUCUUGUCAAGGUAUGUACUUUGCGAAAGACCUAUGAGGCGUCUCGAUCUAUCUCUAUAGAUCUUGAUACCUAAUAUGUAUGCAGCUUCUCCAAGGUCCUUCAUUGAAAAACUCUUGUUCAAAUAGGCCUUUAUGCUCUCCAACAUCUCUAUAUCAUUCCCCAUCAAUAAUAUGUCAUCCACAUAUAGUACGAGGAAAGCUACAGAGCUCCCACUCACUUUCUUGUACAGACAGGCUUCUCCGUAAACCUGUAUGAACCCAAACGCUUUAAUCACCUCAUUAAAGCGAAUGUUCCAACUCCGAGAUGCUUGCACCAGCCCAUAGAUGGAGCGUUGGAGCUUGCACACUUUGUUAGCACCCUUAGGGUCGACAAAACCUUCUGGUUGCAUCAUAUACAACUCUUCCUUAAGGUUCCCGUUAAGGAAUGCUGUUUUGACGUCCAUUUGCCAAAUUUCAUAAUCAUAAAAGGCGGCAAUUGCUAACAUGAUUCGGACUGAUUUCAGCUUCGCUACGGGAGAGAAAGUCUCUUCGUAGUCAACUCCUUGAAUUUGUCGAAAACCCUUUGCGACAAGUCGAGCUUUGCAAACGGUUACAUUACCGUUUGCAUCAGUCUUCUUCUUGAAGAUCCAUUUAUUUUCUAUGGCUCGCCGGUCAUCGGGUAAGUCCACCAAAGUCCAUACUUUGUUCUCAUACAUGGAUCCUAUCUCGGAUUUCAUAGCCUCAAGCCAUUUGUUGGAAUCCGGGACCGCCAUCGCUUCUUCAUAGUUCGAAGGUUCACCGUUGUCUAACAACAUGAUUUCCAUCACAGGGUUGCCGUACCACUCUGGUGCGGAGCGUGCCCUUGUGGACCUUCGCGGUUCAGUAGUAACUUGAUCCGAAGCUUCAUGAUCAUCAUCAUUAACUUCCUCUUCAGUUGGUGUAGGCGCCACAGGAACAACUUCCCUUGCUGCGCUACUAUCCUAUUCGAGAGGGGGUGUAAUUACCUCAUCAAGUUCUACCUUCCUCCCACUUACUUCUUUCGAGAGAAACUCUUUAUCUAGAAAGGAUCCGUUCUUGGCAACAAAGGUCUUACCUUCUGAUCUAAGAUAGAAGGUAUACCCAAUAGUUUCCUUUAGGGUAUCCUAUGAAUACGCAUUUCUCCGCUUUGGGUUCGAGAUUUUCUGGUUGAAGUUUCUUCACAUAAGCAUCGCAGCCCCAAACUUUAAGAAACGACAACUUAGGUUUCUUGCCAAACCAUAGUUCAUACAGUGUCGUCUCAACGGAUUUUGACGGUGCCCUAUUUAAAGUGAAUGCUGCAGUUUCUAAUGCGUAUCCCCAAAAUGAUAGCGGUAAGUCGGUAAGAGACAUCAUAGAUCGUACCAUAUCUAAUAAAGUGCGAUUACGACGUUCAGACACUCCGUUGCGUUGCGGUGUGCCAGGCGGCGUCAGUUGUGAAACGAUUCCACACUUCCUUAGGUGUGUGCCAAACUCGUGACUCAAAUAUUCUCCUCGACGAUCAGAUCGCAGACAUUUAAUUUUUCUGUCACGUUGAUUCUCAACCUCACUCUGAAAUUCCUUGAACUUUUCAAACGUCUCAGAUUUGUGCUUCAUUAAGUAGAUAUACCCAUACCUACUCAAAUCAUUGGUGAGAGUGAGAACAUAACGAUAGCCACCGCGAGCUUCAACGUUCAUUGGACCACACACAUCAGUAUGUAUUAUUUCCAAUAAGUCGGUUGCUCUCUCCAUUAUUCCUGAGAAUGGAGUCUUAGUCAUCUUGCCCAUGAGGCACGAUUCGCAUGUGUCAAAUGAUUCAAAGUCAAGAGACUCUAAUAGUCCAUAAGUAUGGAGCUUCUUCAUGCGCUUAACGCUGAUAUGACCAAGGCGGCAGUGCCACAAGUAUGUGGGACCAUCAUUAUCAACUUUACAUCUUUUGGUACUCACACUAUGAAUAUGUGUAACAUCACGAUCGAGAUUCAUCAAGAAUAAACCAUUCACCAGCGGAGCAUGACCAUAAAACAUAUCACUCACAUAAGUAGAACAACCAUUAUUCUCUGACUUAAAUGAGUAGCCGUCUCGCAUUAAGCAAGACCCUGAUACAAUAUUCAUGCUCAAAGCUGGUACUAAAUAACAAUUAUUAAGGUUUAAAACUAAUCCCGACGGUAGAUGUUGAGGUAGCCUGCCAACGGCGAUCACAUCGACUUUGGAACCAUUCCCCACGCGCAUCGUCACCUCGUCCUUGGCCAGUCUCCGCUUAUUCCGCAGUUCCUGCUUUGAGUUGCAAAUGUGAGCAACAACACCGGUAUCAAAUACCCAGGAGCUACUACGAGCGCUGGUAAGGUACACAUCAAUAACAUGUAUAUCACAUAUACCUUUAACGUUGCCGCACUUCUUGUCCGCUAAGUAUUUGGGAGAGUUCCGCUUCCAGUGACCUUUUCCCUUGCAGUAGAAGCACUCAGUCUCAGGCUUGGGUCCGUUCUUUUUCUUCUUCCCGGCAUCUGGCUUACCGGGCGCGGCAACAGCUUUGCCGUCUUUCAUGAAGUUCUUCUUACCCCUGCCUUUCUUGAAACUAGUGGUCUUGUUGACCAUCAACACUUGAUGCUCCUUCUUGAUUUCUACUUCUGCAGACUUGAGCAUCGAGUACAACUCGGGAAUGGUUUUCUCCAUCCCUUGCAUGUUGUAGUUAAGCACAAAGCCUUUGUAGCUUGGUGGGAGAGACUGGAGGAUUCUGUCAAUGAUAGCAUCACCCGGAAGUUCGACUCCAAGUGAAGUCAGACGACCGUGUAACCCAGACAUUUUGAGUAUGUGCUCACUGACAGAACUGUUCUCCUCCAUCUUACAGCUGAAGAACUUGUCGGAGACUUCAUAUCUCUCGACACGGGCAUGAGCUUGAAAAACUAGCUUCGGCUCUUGGAACAUCUCAUAUGCCCCGUGUUGCUCAAAACGUCUUUGGAGCCCCAUUUCUAAACUGUAUAACAUGCCACACCUGACCAGAGAGUAGUCAUCACUUCGCGCUUGCUAGACAUUUAGAAUGUCCUAGGCUGCUGCGGGAGCGGGAGGGUCACCUAGCGGCGCAUUAAGGACAUAAGCCUUUUUACUUGCUUCAAGGAUGAGCUUCAGGUUGCGAACCCAGUCCGCAUAGUUGCUACCAUCAUCUUUCAGCUUGUUUUUCUCUAGGAAUGCGUUGAAGUUGAGGUUGACGUUGGACAUCUACAAUAUUUAUAAAGACAACUUUUAGACUAAGUUCAUGACAAUUAAGUUCAUUUAAUCAAAUUAAGUAUGAACUCCCACUUAAAUCGACAUCCCUCUAGUCAUCUAAGUGAUACAUGAUCCAUGUUGACUAACCCGUGUCCGAUCAUCACGUGAGACGGACUAGUCACCAUGGUGAGCAACUUCAUGCUGAUCGUAUUCAACCAUACGACUCAUGUUCGACCUUUCGGUCUCUUGUAUUCGAGGUCAUGUCUGUACAUGCUAAGCUCGUCGAGUCAACCUAGGUGUUUCGCGUGUGUAAAUCUGGCUUACACCCGUUGUAUGCGAACGUUAGAAUCUAUCACACCCGAUCAUCACGUGGUGCUUCGAGACAACGAACCUUCGCAACGGUGCACACUUAGGGGAAUACGUUCUCAAAAUUUUAAGAGGGAUCAUCUUAUUAUGCUACCGUCGUUUUAAGCAAUAAGAUGUAAAGCAUGAUAAACAUCACAAUGCAAUCAUAUAGUGACAUGAUAUGGCCAUUAUCAUCUUUGCUCUUUCGAUCUCCAUCUUCAGGCAUCGCAUGAUCAUCAUUGUCACCGGCGUGACACCAUGAUCUCCAUCAUCGUGUCUCCGUGAAGUCGUCACGCCAACUACUACUAUCACUACUACUAUGGCUAACCGUUAGCAAUGAAGUAAAAUAGUAAGCACAUGGCGUUGCAUCUCAUACAAUAAAUUAAGACAACUCCUAUGGCUCCUGCCGGUUGUCAUACUCCUCGUCAUGCAAGUCGUGAAACCUAUUACAGUAACAUGAUCAUCUCAUACAUCAUACAUGCAACAUCACAACUUUGGCCAUAUCACAUCACAUGUCAAACCCUGCAAAAAACAAGUUAGACGUCCUCUAAUUGUUGUUGCAAGUUUUACGUGGCUGAUUUGGGUUUCUAGCAAGAACGCCUUCUUACCUACAUGACAGCCACAACGAUGAUAUGCCAAAGCUAUUUACCCUUCAUAAGGACCCUUUNNNNNNNNNNNNNNNNNNNNNNNNNNNNNNNNNNNNNNNNNNNNNNNNNNNNNNNNNNNNNNNNNNNNNNNNNNNNNNNNNNNNNNNNNNNNNNNNNNNNUUAUUCGCCACUACUCCACCCCUGUGCACCGAACCGUUAUGAAGGGUAGCGCACUCUAUAUAAGCCGCCCUUCCCCACUGGUGCAGGGGUUAGCAAUUCAUUGUAAUCCAUAUUACACUCGACAUCAAGCUCCAAGAGCACUGAGACGUAGGCCUUUUACCUCCACCGUAGAGGGGCCUGAACUCAUAGAACCUCGCCGUAGCUAAGGCUCUGCCCAUCCUUUCGUACCCCACACAUCUACUGUCAGACUUAUACCCACGACACAACCACUCUGCUACUGUCAUGGUUUUGACAGAGAGAGGGGCACAUAGCAAGUUGGCCCUCUUGCUGCUGCUACUACUAACGAACAGGGAAAUAAAACCCAAAAAGGGGCGGUGCACCACCGGGGACUCGAACCCUGCACCUUUCGAUGACCAACAGGAGUUACUACCACUGCGCUACUGCAUCGACAUCUGACAGAGGAAGGUGCACAAACAAGGUAUACUACUAACAGAGGAAGGGGCGCACCGGCGUCAGGGAGUCCGACGGGACUGUCUCGCCGUUGCUGCUACUACUACUACGCCAAGGGGAGAGCCCCUACACAGAUCGCUACAAGGGGGGGAGAAGCCCCUUCUAGGACACAACCCUAACACACACAAGCCAACAACACACCCAAAAUACAUCUAGGGCGCCGGAUCUCUUCCUGGCAGAAACUACUCCGGCGAGCUCCUGCUCGGUCUAAGCGGCGAGAAGGAGGGAGGAAGGAGGGAGGAGCUCCUGCUCACCUAGGGGAAGUAGGAAGGGCGCCGAUCGAUGGAGAAGUCGCUGGAGGGGAAGAAGAUCGCUGAUGAAGAAGCCCCUGUCGAUGAACCGAAGCAGAGAAACAGGGAGGGAGUCCACCGAGAGCGCGACGUUGACAUGGAGCUGCCCGUGGAUGAGGUCGCUCCGUGGCCUCCCCGAGGACGGGAAUGGAGCGCGGGCUCCUACUCCGUGCCCCUGGACAUGGCCGCCAGCGCUGCUCGACGUAGACGGCGGGGUAGACGCGGCGGGGCUGAACUCUCUCUC
rnacentral:lncRNA from 1 species